GGAGACCCAGUUCGAACCCAGUAGGUCACAAGAGCAGGAUUACAUUGGCAGAGGAAAGGCUAUGCUUAGAAGGGCUAAACUGUCAGGAAUAUUCAACAGUAUUCUUACGUGGGACAAAUUGUUUUUAUUUUGUGUUACUCCCUUCCAAUGCGGCAUGCGAUCAUCAUAGAGGGAACAGAUAUUUCAGAGACUCUUAGCUUCCAGGAAUGGGAUCAUCAUAGUUUAUAGCCAAAAUGGUUCAAAUACUAGAAAAUAAAUUCAACAUUUCACAAGAAGCUUCUGUUUACCACAGCAACCGAAACAAAGCCACCAGGAGCUCCUCCACUGUAGAGGAAUUCAGAGUCUGAUGCUCAGAACACAGCAGCCCAGCUGACCUCACCGUCCGUCCCCUACGCAGAGAGAACAUUCAUUACCAGCAUUGUCUCCUCCACUACAGCGCUGUGACCUCACUUACAGUAUGGCUUCAGCCUGACUCAUAGACACAUGCCGCAUCAGCCACACAGCUAAACACUAGCAAGCAGUAGAGAAGAUAAACAGACCAAUGCACAUUGAGGGUAACAGCUCUCUCUUUCACUUGUUCCCGCUCCCUCCUUUCCUGGCGGUCUCCUGCAGCAGUCAAAUGCAAACAGCAUGCAAUCUACCUUAUGAGAGCUCCUCCUCGAUGGCUUACUGACCUAAACACACAACCAACAGCAGAAUGGUGGAUGUCUACAUAAACACACCAAAAGUUCCUACCAAAUCACCAGCAGCCAGACAGAGCAAUCCCUGCAUAGCACACACAAGAACACGGACGCACUCUCGCUCUCUGCUGCGCUGCUCUCUCCUCCUCCUCCUCUCAGCUCUGCGUGGUGACAGAAAAGCCAGAGCAGCCGCCACGCAAAAACAUCUGCAGCACACACACACAAGAAUGGAGUGGGCGGGGAGACAGAGCCUGUCUGUGAGUGGGGAGGUGUUUCACAGCCAAGAGCAGCAAUCUCCCGAGCCCCUCCUCUCAUGUUUUUCUUUCUCCCUCUAUUUCCCGCAUCUGUCUUUCCCCUAAAGGACAGACUGUUGGGACUCCAGACAAAACUCACCAUCAUCUGGCCCUUUCUUCAUGUCUCUCUCUUGGUUCGUUCCACUUCAAAAAGCACAAGAGGAUUUCAACACUCACCAACAAAUAAGAUUAGCAUUCCUGAAACAUUGUUUUAUUAAAAUAUAAUUUGAUCUCUGAGAAAUUAAGCUAAUUGAUUACAUUUAUAUGGCCAAUUUGGGUGCAUAGGAUAAAUAUAAUAUUCAAUAAAUAUAGUACCUAAACAUC